UUAGGAAUUUUGGGCAAUGGGCGCAAGCCUGACCCAGCAACGCCGCGUGGGUGACGAAGGCCUUCGGGUUGUAAAGCCCUUUUCUGAGGGAAGAUGAUGACGGUACCUCAGGAAUAAGCACCGGCUAACUACGUGCCAGCAGCCGCGGUAAUACGUAGGGUGCAAGCGUUGCCCGGAUUUAUUGGGCGUAAAGGGCGCGUAGGCGGCAGUGCACGUCCGUUGUGAAAUCGCCCGGCUCAACUGGGCGGGGUCAGCGGAUACGGCAUUGCUUGAGCAAGCUAGGGGGCAAUGGAAUUCCCGGUGUAGUGGUGGAAUGCGUAGAUAUCGGGAGGAACACCAGUGGCGAAGGCGGUUGCCUGGAGCUUUGCUGACGCUGAGGCGCGAAAGCGUGGGGAGCGAUCCGGAUUAGAUACCCGCGUAGUCC
rnacentral:rRNA from 1 species